AUGACACAGAAGGAGGGAAGUUUCUUUCACAGGUUGAUACAAAUUUCUCUCUGCAUAUCCCCAGGACUUUCUUUUUGUUGUUGUUGUUGUUGCUUUGUUGUUGUUUUUGUUGUUGUUGCCAACUUCUCCCCGUUUUUUGAUUCCAGUAAAUUAAGAGUGUUAUAUUAGUUUCAAGUUUACAGCAGUGAUUCAACAAUUCUACACAUUGUUCAGUGUCUACCACAAUAGGUGUACUCUUAAUCCCCUUCACCGG
rnacentral:lncRNA from 12 species